UUUUGCUUUUUUUAAAAAUCAAAUAUCUGCCUUGAAUCAAUUAUUUUAAAAAAAAUCAAAAUCGCAUAUGAAUCAAUUUUUUUUUAAUAAAUUGCUGCCUUAACAGCGAUUUUACACUUUUUUUUAAUUUUUAUGUAAAUCACAGCCAGUGCAGCAAUAUACUAAAUUUUGUUAUUAUUUUUUAAAUUUUUUUAAGUAAAUCGCUGCCAGUGUAGCGAUUUAUGAAUUUCGAUGCCAGUGCAGUGGCUGUGAUUUAUGGGAGUUUUUUAUUUUUUACUUUUUAAUUACUUUUAAAUAGUGUAGCGAUUUACGAAAUUUUUGUUUUUUUUAAAAAUCUCUUAAAAAUAAAUCCUGCCUAUUUUCUAAUUGUGUAGUGAAAUUUCUGCAAUUUUUUUUUCCGAUUUACUCCAAAUUUUUUUUUUUAACUUUUAAAGUUAAUCACAUGUGAACUUUACAAAAAAUAUUCACAUGACAAAUUUUUACAAAAAAAAUUCACAUGUCAAACUUUUACUAAAAAAUUCACAUGCAUUUAUAUGAAAUAGUGUCAAAGUCACAUGAUACAUUAUUAUUUUCUUAUAAAUUGAUUGAGUUGUUCAUUCAAAUUGUAUUGUAGUUUUUCAAAUUUUUUAAAAUUUUUAAAAGCGUUUUCUAGUUUUUCAAUUUUCCAAAGUUUUUAAAAGCCUUUCUCUAUAAGGGAAGUUUGAAUUUAUUUUAAUUUUAAUUUGUUUAAUUAAUUUUAUACUUUUAUAUGAUAUUGUGGAUAUAUUCAUCUUUUGAUACUUAUAUUAAUGUUAAUAUUUAGUUUUACUUUUUGUGUAUGGAUAUGCAUCCGUCAAAUGUGUACUUACAUCCUGGUCCAGUAGAGCAUGAUGUAUUAAAAAUUCAAGUUCAUCAUCGUUCCGAAGGAAUCUGGAAUGGUAGCUUAAAAGAAGAGAAGUCUUGCUUAUAUACGCGUCGUGGUGAUAUUGAAUUUUGGCAAUAUGUAAAAUAUCAUCCAUUACAUUUUCGCAUUCAUCAGUAUUUUGAAAAUUGUAGAUUUAAAAGAAUUCUUGAUGUAGGAUGUGUGUCGUAUGACUCCGGAUUAAUUUCUUCUUUAAUUGAAAGGUGGCGUCCAGAAACACAUACUUUUCACAUGCAAACUGAUGAGGAUACCAUAACAUUACAAGAUGUUGAAAUUUUAUUCGGAAUGAUUUGGGCAUGGGAACGAAUUAUUCCCCUGCAACCAUUGACAAAGCCUCUAAGGACCAAUCAACUUGAAACUUCAACUGCGCUUGCACGUAAAUGGACGCGACGUAGAAAUCAUCACAAUGAGGCACGAACUGUAAUCGGUGUGACUAUAUAUGUACUAGAUAAUCUAACUGAUGAAUAGGUAUUUAUUAUUAUUAGUAUUUUAAACUAUUCAUAUUUUUAUUCCAUGUUAAAUAAAAAUAUGUUUGGUAGGUCUUUAUAUGAGACACUUAUGUUUUACUACCCAAGAAAUUAUAUGAAUAAAAUGACAUAUACAUAGAUUCUUGAUAGGUCCUUAAAAGUAAGAUAUUACAUGACAUAAUGGUACCAAAAAAUUAUUUUGUAAGAUUGUUCAUUUUCACGUUACACCUUUUUUUUAUUUUUCUACUAAUUUUGUUUUUAUAAUUAUCUUACUUAAUUAUUUUUUUUAUAAUUUAUUUGGCAACCUUAUUCGGAAGAUUUUAUUAAUGGAUUGCC